rnacentral:rRNA from 1 species
AACGUAGGAGGCAAGCGUUAUCCGGAGUUACUGGGCGUAAAGCGCAUGUAGGCGGUUGGGCAAGUGGCGAGUGAAAGCUCCCGGCUAAACUGGGAGAGGACACGUCAGACUGCCCGGCUAGAGGCGGAUGAGAGGGGCGCAGGAAUUCGGGGUGUAGCGGGUGAAAUGGUGUAGAGAUCCCGAGGAAUACCAGUGGUGAAGACGGCGCCCCUGGGGUCCGUACUGACGCUGAGAUGCGAAAGCGUGGGGAGCGAACGGG